UAACCUGCCCCUGACUCUGGGAUAAGCCUUGGAAACGAGGUCUAAUACCGGAUAUGUGACGUUCAGGCAUCUGAUGCGUCUGGAAAGAUUUAUCGGUCAGGGAUGGACUCGCGGCCUAUCAGCUUGUUGGUGGGGUAACGGCCUACCAAGGCGACGACGGGUAGCCGGCCUGAGAGGGCGACCGGCCACACUGGGACUGAGACACGGCCCAGACUCCUACGGGAGGCAGCAGUGGGGAAUAUUGCACAAUGGGCGCAAGCCUGAUGCAGCGACGCCGCGUGAGGGAUGAAGGCCUUCGGGUUGUAAACCUCUUUCAGCAGGGAAGAAGCGCAAGUGACGGUACCUGCAGAAGAAGCGCCGGCUAACUACGUGCCAGCAGCCGCGGUAAUACGUAGGGCGCAAGCGUUGUCCGGAAUUAUUGGGCGUAAAGAGCUCGUAGGCGGUCUGUCGCGUCUGCUGUGAAAACUCGAGGCUCAACCUCGGGCUUGCAGUGGGUACGGGCAGACUAGAGUGCGGUAGGGGAGACUGGAAUUCCUGGUGUAGCGGUGGAAUGCGCAGAUAUCAGGAGGAACACCGAUGGCGAAGGCAGGUCUCUGGGCCGCAACUGACGCUGAGGAGCGAAAGCAUGGGGAGCGAACAGGAUUAGAUACCCUGGUAGUCCAUGCCGUAAACGUUGGGCACUAGGUGUGGGGCUCAUUCCACGAGUUCCGUGCCGCAGCAAACGCAUUAAGUGCCCCGCCUGGGGAGUACGGCCGCAAGGCUAAAACUCAAAGAAAUUGACGGGGGCCCGCACAAGCGGCGG
rnacentral:rRNA from 1 species